AGCUAUCCUGUUCCCCAUCCUAUUCUAUACGAGCGGUUUCGUGGCGAGCGGCUGGUGGGAUCGACAGUGUGGUGCUCGGCGGCAAAUCUUACUGCUUGGUGUUGGCGGCCCACCUCCCAUUCUAUUCCAAACAGGCGAUGCGGUGAGGCGCUGCUCAUGGGAUCAGCAGUGUAGUUGUCGGUUGGCAGGCGGGGCGGCCCUCGUAUGUAUGGUGGCCGCGGUGGCUCUACAUGAAUGGAUGCGGCGGCGCUGCGGUGGGUUUCAGGUGGCGCUAGAAGCUGCAGCAGUUCAGGAAGAAGAUUGGGAAGAAGGUGACACGGACAAGGGGGCGUCGAAGGCGUGUGCCAUCUCCUAGAUGUGGAGAGUGGCAACAGCCAUUAUAGCUUGUGUUUUAGAUACCUUUCUGAGUAUGGUGCCUGAAGUUGAGCGAGUCAUUGGUGUGUGUAAUACUCAUCCACAGGAAGCCGCAAGGUUUCAGGUGGAGAGCUCAUGGGAGGAUGUGAGAAACCCUGAUCCUACUAGUCUUAGUUCCAAUAUAUUUCCACUUUCUUUAUGUCCAUGUUCUUCCCAAAUUUUCUUUCUUUUUCUGAACGAAUGUCAUUAAUUAAGGACCAGGGUUACAACGUUGUGGGAACUGGUUCUUUCCAAAUUGCUAAAUCGGUGUUCCAUUUUUGUCGAAUCGGUAGUGUAGACUCUAGAGAGAUCUUGAGAAGGAAUGUCAUACCCGAAGAGGUUAUAUGAAGUUUACAGUAUGGGUGUGCUUGUGUUUGCAUGGGUUCAUUUACACUUUUUUAAUUGUUUUUUCUUAGUAACAGACUCUAAUUUUGUUUGUUUUGUAUCUCCAACUAGUUUUGUUGGAUGUGUUUUUUGGUUAGGAAGUUUUAGUCUGCUGUUUGUUCCCAGUCCAUGUAGAGGUAGAGCAGUAUUUCUGUCAAAUUUCUAUGCUCUAUGAUGUGGAAGCAUCAGGUGCUACGAAAUGGCUAAAAUUUUGUCAGCUAGAAGUACAGUCAUAUAGGAGAAUAUUUAGUUUGUUGUUUAAAUUUUUGAAGCCUGAUGUUUUCUCAAUCAGUGAUGAAGAUUUCCAGUUUUGUUUUAGUCCCCUGGGAAAACCAUUCAGUAUUUUACAUGCUUUUGAAUUAUUUAGCAGUAUUCAUUUGAAUGUAGCUGGAGUUUAGGCUCGUUAAUCUAAUAUAUGUACAUAUUAGGAAUUCAUAUUAGUUAGCUUUCCUGCAGAUAAUAGUAUAUGUAUUUUCUUUUGAGCACUACCUGGUAUUUGUACCGUGGUUGGUGGUCGUGGAUUAGUAGCAGGCCGAGCAGUGAUGUAGCGUCGCCAGUGGUCCUUGGCAUCAGGUUAGGUUGGUUGUUGGCAUCGCUUCUUCAUGCAGUCUCUGCAUCUCUUCCUACCAUGUCGGUCGUCCAGCCAGGCAUUCACCACGGGUCGCCUUGAGAUCACCCCCUCUCCACUAAUUUACAUUAGUAUGUGUCGAUUCAUUUGCCCAUGGAAAUUAUCUGCUCAAAUCUGGUUAGACUUAGAAAUAAAAUUGCUAAUUUGAAUUUACAUAGAUUAACUUCCCCAUAUGAGGAGGCAAAGGAUUCUGGUUUCUAUUUUGACACUAUCCCCGAAUUAAGAAUGACAUUUGUCACAAGCACAGAAUAAUUCCACUGAAACUAUAGUUUAGCCCAACGAGUGUGCUCUUCAUUGUUUGAUUAAACCUUUGUGAGUACAACAAAAUAUGAAACCAGGUAGUUGGUCUCCCCUCUAAAAAAACAAAUUGUCACUUUUGUACUGCAGCUAAUAGAAGGAAUUUAUUUGUUUUAUUUAUGCGUAGCAUUUUCUACAAUCAUCUAUUAUGAUGUUGAUCAUUUCAUGCAAGGUAAAUUUGUUCAUCUCAAUAAUGUAUUAUUAAUACACCUUGGAAACGUUUCACCAAAAAGAACACCAUUACUUUAUUGGGGAUAUCCACUGAUUUUCUUCUUAAUCAUGUGGGCUUGUUCUGAAACUCCAUGCAUUCUCUCACGGAACUGCAUAUGAACAUCAACAGAUAAUUUGUUUCAAGUUUCAAUUGAAACAAGCUAUGCCUCUUUUUGGAUGUACUCUAGUGGGCCUACUGUUUGAACUCUAACCAUUAAAUAUGAAUUUCCCACUGGAAUGAUAUCAUGAUCAGUUUUAUUUAGGCUGUAGGUAGCUCAUCGUUUAUACCCUGAUAACAGUACUCAACAUGUUACAGAAGUGAUAUUGUUUGUUUUACGGGAAGACUCAUACUGCUGUUUUCCCCAGUAAUAAAGAAGCGACAACAAAAAGUACAAAGAGGAGGGGAGGUCGAGAAAUGAGAAAUAGAAAACAAUGUCUCCAUUGCUGGCUGUCGUGGGUUGCAAGAUGAUCAACACCAAGCUUGCUGGUCUAAGCUUAAUUCUGGAAGUUCUAAUCGAUAGUUUCAGUAUUGCAUACAAAGGCUAAUCAGUGCAGCGCUGAAGAUCUCUCAUACAUCUUCCUUCAGUCACGUAAAAAACCAGAUGUAAAUUACAAAGCUGCUCCUAUGUAUGUAUAUAUCUGUAGAUGCUCUUUCUUGUGACUAGUCAUUGUAAAGUAAUUUCUUAUGACUGCAUUAGUGCUUCAUUUUGUUGCCACAUUGUCGCUCGAAGUGUUGAAUAUUUUGCUUCUUA